AAUUAUUGUCAAUUACAUCAUAGAUAGAGAAAAUUCAUUUGUCAUUAAAAUUUUUAAUAUCUAUGAUGUUAAUUUGUGAAGAUGAUGAUGCUACUAAUGUUGAAUCGACUAAACAACACAGUACAGUCCUGGAUAUUAGGUACCUCUAGAUUAAUUAUUGAUGAUAUUUUAUCUCGGAACCAGCCAAUGCAUCAA